rnacentral:snoRNA from 1 species
AAGGCUAUACUUUCAGGAAUCAUUUCUAUAGUUUGUUACAAGAGAAGUUUCUCUGAAUGUGUAGAGCACCAGAAACCACGACGAGGACGAGAAGGCACAGCAUUCUUUCCUAAAUGUGAAGCCAGCUCUUGGUGUUGCUUCAACUGCCACUUGCCAUUAAUGACAGUUCUUCUUUCCCACUGGGAGAAUAAAAAGGAGAGAAUGCAGUCCUUU